rnacentral:rRNA from 1 species
UGGGGGAUAUUGCACAAUGGGCGAAAGCCUGAUGCAGCGACGCCGCGUGGGGGAUGAAGGCCUUCGGGUUGUAAACUUCUUUUGCUCUGAACAAGGCAUGCCUUUGGGGUGUGUUGAGUGUAGGGGUUGAUUAGCGCCGGCUAACUACGUGCCAGCAGCCGCGGUAAUACGUAGGGCGCGAGCGUUGUCCGGAAUUAUUGGGCGUAAAGGGCUUGUAGGUGGCUGGUUGCGUCUGUCGUGAAAGCUCAUGGCUUAACUGUGGGUUUGCGGUGGGUACGGGCUGGCUUGAGUGCAGUAGGGGAGGCUGGAAUUCCUGGUGUAGCGGUGGAAUGCGCAGAUAUCAGGAGGAAUACCAGUGGCGAAGGCGGGUCUCUGGGCUGUUACUGACGCUGAGGAGCGAAAGCGUGGGGAGCGAACAGG